UCCGUAGGUGGCGCUAUUAGUCUCUCGUUAAAGAUUCCGGCUCAACCGGAAAACUGCGGGAGAAACGGUAGUGCUUGAGGGCACAAGAGGCAUACAGAACUCAUGGUGUAGGGGUGAAAUCCGUUGAUAUCAUGGGGAAUACCAAAGGCGAAGGCAGUAUGCUGGUGUGUUCCUGACGCUAAGGGACGAAAGCCAGGGUAGCGAAUG
rnacentral:rRNA from 1 species